GCACUAGUGGUUUAGUGGUAAAAUAGUUCCUUGCUACGGUAUAUACCUGGGUCCGAUUCCCGGUUGGUGUA
rfam:Ipomoea nil DNA, scaffold: scaffold3100, cultivar: Tokyo-kokei standard.